rnacentral:rRNA from 1 species
CCCUAAAAAACUACGUCUCAGUUCAGAUUGCAGGCUGCAACUCGCCUGCAUGAAGUCGGAAUUGCUAGUAAUCGCAGAUCAGCAUGCUGCGGUGAAUACGUUCCCGGGCCUUGUACACACCGCCCGUCACACCAUGGGAGUCGGUAACACCCGAAGUCGGUAGCCUAACCGUAAGGAGGGCGCCGCCGAAGGUGGGGAUUGAUGACUGGGGGUGAAGUCGUAACAAGGUAGC